rnacentral:lncRNA from 1 species
AAGAGAAAAGGUAAUGCUAUGAUAAAAUACGUAAAGGUAAUUGUUACUGCAAAUUUUAGUCACGUAAACAACAAAAUUCUUUGCUCAGAAUUUACUCAGUUAAGUAACUUUUCCAAACACAAUUCAAAAUGACCAAAUGCAACAACACCAAGAAUCUGGUUGCCUGAACUUAAUUAAAACAUGUUUUCAUUUUUAAGCAUGACAUUAUAAUUUUUCUUUUCUAGUCAAUUGAACAUUCAAUGCUUUAUUUAAGUACCAAAGGAGUGACAGCUAUUCCAAAUUUUGUUUUGAUAAGAAAACAAAUUUGUCUGUCCAGAAUCUUUAUGAAAGGAAGAAUGUUUUAUCAGUCUCAGCGCAGCAAUUUAUGGGCAUAAUUUUAUAUGAUAAAUUUUGUAAUAAGGGUUCCCAAUGGAGGAUAUAGAUAGGUCUUUCAGAAGAAUUCUUGAUUACCUAUAAUUAUACUGAAAACUACAAUACUGAGUUCUCAAGACUUCCCAACUUAAAGCAACAGUAGAGUUGUAGAAAUUCCUCUAGAUGUCCCAACGACUUGCAUUAAGUGCUAGCUGUGCAUGAGAAGCUAAAUCCCAGAUACCCAAUGUUGUAAAUCCGAUAAGAUGGGUGACCUGAAGGUUCUGCAUAGCAUUAGUAUGAACAAGGAUUGGAUCAUGUCAAUCUAUUAGAGUUCAAAGUAUCCAUCAAAUAGCAAAAUUGUAUAUGAAUAGCUGUCUAGAUACCACAAGAAGCCGGUGAACUUUUUCCGAUGGAUGGUCCACAGGGGACCAAUCAAUAUAUAUGGUGCAGCCAACAUAAAGCUCUGCUUUCAAUUACCGACUGACUCCGCAAUUUUUAAGAACCAACAAAAAGUAAGAAAAAUUACAGACUACCAAGGUCCAAUUCAAUACUACCAUAGGUUAUAGAGCUUUUGUCUACAAGGAUUUAAGCAUUUGAGCUUUCAAUAAAAAGCUAAUUACUAUUUGAUAACUAUUGUUUCAAAGUGUUAUGAAACUUUAUAUCUAUUUGUAACCAACUAAAAAAGUAUCGUGAAAUGAUAACAUAAGAUAUUAUAUAGUACUUUCAAUUGCAUAUUUGGAUGAUCAAAAAUUAUUAUUGUACUAUAUUCUUAAUUUAUAACUUAUUCAUUUCAAUAUUUUAAUCUAAAUAAUACAACAAUAUAUUAAAUAAUAUAUUUUAUAUUUAUUUUAAAAUAUAGUAAUAAUUUUAUAAUAUUCAUAUAUUAUCAUAAUAAUAACAUAUAAUAUAAUGUUUGCACAUCUUGACCAAUAGCAGAAGUUUAGAGACCGACCGAGUAAAAACCUUGUGCCAUUAACUAGAUUGGUUGAAUGAUUACAGCUAAUGAAUAUCUUAUUCAAGAUUGGAUGUACCAGUAUCAGGAUCCAAAUUGUUUCGUGGCGGUAUAGUUUGGUACAAUGCUGAUACCAUGCCGUUCUGGUCCGUUUCAAAAAUUUUUUUUAAAAUUUUUUUUUUAGUAGAUUUUGAACUGAAAUGGGCAUGUGAUCUGCCUACUUCAGUCUAAAAUUCAAAAAUCAGAAAAAAAAGUUUGAAACCUUCUUCCUUGUUCCACUCUCCUCCAUUCCAAAGCAAAGAUGGCGGGAGAGAGAGGAAGGAAGAGAGAGGGGGAGAGGGAGAGGGAAAGAAAGGGAGGGAAAGAGGGAGAGAGAGGAAUGAGAGGGGAAGAGAGAAGAAGGUCCUCAAAGAGCUUGGGAGGGGGACGAAGGUUGGCGACGAAGAUUGAGACAGAGGGAGAGGGAGGAAGAGAGACAGCUUACCUCGGAUUGCCAUUGGGUUUUGAAGUGGGGAGGAUGAUGGGUUUCAAAGCGGGAAGGAGGCCGGAGCAUUUUGAAGGGACCCCGGGUGUUCCUCUAGCGAACAGCAGAAUUGGAUAUCUGGGUUUGUAAAAAGCUCAGGUUUUCCAAGACCCAAUUUAACAAAAUCAUCCAAGUCAAGCCAAUUUGAACACUCCUCAAAUCUAAAAUGAGGUGUAGUUUAGAUCAGCACAGCAUAUAUUAACUUCCAUUAAUUUGUUAUCCCAAAAAAAAAAAAAAAAAGACACGAAAGUAUUGAGUUCAAAUGUAUUGUAUUGGGACGCCAAUUUAUUGGACUGGUAUUUCAUAAGAUCUAAAUUCGUAUCCCUCUUUCUUGGCUCAUAAUCUGAUUCAAAAAUUUCUCGAUAUUUUCAAUCCAAAAUUUGAGAAACAAUGCUGGUUCAAAUUUGGAUGCCAAGUUAAACAAUGUUACAGCAAUAAAAGUUGCUAUUAUUUGAUAUUGGCUAGUUUUGUCAAUGCUAGAUCCAAAUUGGACAACAAACAACUCUCGCGCACAACCCACAUGAAACAAGACGAGCUAUUAGUUUAUAUAAAAUGUUGUUUCGAAAGCUCAAAGCUUUUGCUUCUCUGCAAGGAAAAUUAGUUGCUGCACGGACUAAACUUUAAUCAUUACCACGUGACCCAUCCCAAAACCUACUGGCCCAGAAAGAGAAUACAAAGAUCAAGGCUCAAAAAGAAGCUGCGUCUCAAACAAGGUAGCCAAUCAAAACAAUGAGUUACACUAGGAGAACACUGAGCAGUCACCAACAAAAGAUUGCAGUCAUGGCCUAACUCAAAACGAACAAAUUAACAAGAAUCAAACAAGUAAUAUUUUCAGACUCAUGGUUGAUACAGAAAAUUCAAAGAAUUGCAGUGAUAUUUUGACAGCAUGUCUCAUUGAUAUAUAUAUAUAUAUAUAUAUAUAUAUAUAUAUAUAUAUAUAUAUAUAUAUAUAUAUAAAAGGAUAUAUCUUAAUAUUUUUGACUCUUUGCAGCGAGUAUUCUGGACACCCUAUGGACGAUAAAAGAUAACUGACAGAUCAAUAUUAUAUUUUAAGGGACUCUAAUAAUAAAUGAUACAGAUUAUUAGAGGUACUUUCUGGAAGAGACACUAUGAUAUCAUUUUUCACCUUCUUCUAAUUACCAAUAAAUGAUAUAGAUUAAGAAACCUCUUCAGCUGACAACUGAAGAGAUCAUUGAAGCAUAGACCUACAAGUCUUGUUUGACCCGUAACUUACUCAAAGUCUCGAUCACAUGAUCAUCUAGGUUUUAGGUGUACCUGUCAUCAAAAUGCAACCGAAAGACAAUUUCACUUAAAUAAUAAUAAUUUAAAAAAAAAUUACGAAAAUAAUACUAUCUUCAAAAUAUUUACCAAAAUACUGCUCAAAAUAAAAUCAUCCUAUCAUAAGAUGACUUUAUGUGCUAACUCACCACAAUUCACUCUAUGUGAAUGGUGGGUCAGCAACAUAGAGUCGUCCCAUUAUAGGACGGUAGGGCUGAGUAAAUAACCGAAAUCUGAAGAAAUCCAUCCAAUUCGAUCCGUAUGAAACCGAACUUGAAUCAGAUUAUGAUUCAUAAAAAAUUCGGUUAAUUAUGAUCGGGUUUGGUUUCUAUAUUUUUAAUCCGUAUGAAACCGAAUCCGAUCGAUCGAUAUAAUAUUUUCAAUACUUAAGCUAUUUGAAAAAUUAAAAAUUGAUAAUUAUGACAUGUUAUGUACUAACUUAUGGAUGUUAUGAAAUUAUUAUAUUAUAAUUUCUAUAUGAAUUGAAUGGUGUAUUGGUUUGUGAUGUUUAAAAUCAACAAUGGAUCAAUAUUGAAGUCCAAAUCGAUACAACCCAUCCGAAUUCACUACAAACCGUUAACUUCAGUUUCAAAUGAUUUAUAUAUGAUAAAUGAUCGGCAGCGGGUUGAAUUUUUUUUAACCUGAUUAGGUUUGAUCGGAUCAAAUUUUUCUUUCAAUCCGAUCCAAUCUGACCCGUGCUUAUCCUUAUUGGGUGGCUUAGUAAGUCGUCCUACAAUAGAGCGACUUUGAGUCUACAACAAACGACUAGACUCUCCAAUAAUAUCUCGUAAAGAUAUAUAGAAAUUUGAUAUUACAGCCAUAGUAGAGAUACUCUAAGCCCCAUGCAUUGCCAAUUGCAAUCUCCAAUAGCUUCUCUCAUUUAAGAUUUGGUAUUGCUUCUUACUCCAUAUAAAUAAAUUUUUCAAAUGAUCCACUGACCAUGAUCUCAUAUAUAAAAAUUUUUGUAAACAUUUUCAAACAAAAGCCUAGUAAGCUCACAAUGUUGAUAUGGUAAGUGCAACAAAUGCUGAUAACAUCGAUGAAGAAUUUCUUACUAUUUUCUUUAGAAGUAUUCGACAUCUUUACUACCAUUAGAUGGCCAUUAUCAAGCUUCCCUUUAUACAUUGCAAUAUAUCUUGACCUAUUUUGUGACUGAAGGAAGAGGUUAUCUUCUUCACAUUGGAGUACUUAUAUCUCGUUGGGCUGUGUGCCCAAACUUCUCCAUGAAGAUUUCUAACUUUGGAUCUUUUUUUGAUCCAUUCUUCCCACAUAAGAUUAUAUUGAAAUUCGAGUACUUGAAAGAUAAUAAAUAGAAUAAAAAUCAUGCUAACGACAAAAAUUGUAGCACAAUCUCAAACUUCAACCAUAUAACCUGUAUCAAGAUCGAUAAUGAUUUUUUGGUGCAACCAAUAAAAAUUAUAGCAUGUGCAUUCAGAUUGAAAAAAAUUAUAACAGUAAUUUUAAAUUAAUAUAAACCAAUGGCUGAUUAUUACAAAGUUUGUUAGCAAAAAAAAUUGUACAACUAACAUAACUAUCGAGAAGCGUAUAUACUAAGGUACUGAGGUCUCUCCCACGUCCAUCUCUCAUAGACGGUGUCACAUCUGACCAUAUAGAUGAUGACUUAGGCAUGGUAUCGACUGAUGGAGAGGAAGGUGCCUAACAUCUACCUCAGAAAAUCCUCAGUCUAUCCUUGCCUUUGGCCCUCCCAUGCGUAUGAUCGACGUACUACUCAUCAGAUCGGUGCGACAUGUCUUCCGGCUCACUAAUCCUCUGUGACAUAGACACAUCAUCCAUAGAGAGGUUGAAGUUUGAAAAGCCAGAAUAUGAGGUAUACUAGGCAUAUGAUGAAGUACUCGAAUCAUCCAUCGAUGGCACAGUAUGAAGUCAUCUAUCCUCAGAGAUGACUCGUAUAGUAUCGACAAGGCCAUCUAUGAUAUUAACAAGUACUCGAUCCUUGCAUCCAAUGAUGACCGAAUGGAAGCCGCUCCUUGUAUGAUAGUAUAGUGACAUGAUCCUUUGAAACUGUCAGUAUCAAAAAGAAAACUUAUGUUAUUUAUAAGUAUAAUAAUAAUGACAUAAUAAAAUGAGAUAAAAAGUAAAAUAAAUUAAUCAUAAUAUCCAUCAUGCUGUCCGAUGGAUGAAACCUCAUCUUGAGCUGUUCUCUCAUCAAUGACGAGAUGAACUGCCUAGUGAUGCUCCUAUACCACUGUAGAAAUGGAUCAUAAUAAUCCAUCAUGGAGAGCAUAGGUGAACCAGCCACAAUCAAAUCCUCCUGCCGCUCCCAUGCAUCAAUAUGCUUCCGAUGAUCUCGAACCCAAUCAUGGUGAUGCCAUCCUCGUCGAUCUAUAUUGUGGAGGUUGUUCCGAGUGUCGCAUGGGAGGACGCCCUGAUGCAUACCAAACUAUUGCAUUAGGCACUCUAGAUAGUAGAUCUCCACGAUAUCGAAGCAAAUGAGAAGUGUACGUAUCCUUCAUAUAUGCUGAUCCGAUCCACAUACCUCAGGCAAUAUAGUUAGUAUCUUCGAUGUGUGAGGCACCCACACCAUCUGAUCAUCGUGCUGUUGGUUAAGCUGAUCCCUAUAGUAUAUGACCGUGUGCGACACUGGAUUACAUGCACCGGUAAGUCGAGUCCUCCACCUGUCCAAAACAAAGUCAAUAUGUUAUUUUAUGAAAGUAUUUAGCUAUUUAUCAUAAAAAAUUAGUGCUACUGGUUAUAUAUCUGCAUCCAAAUAAAUCAACCUAGUCGUGCUGUAUCCCACCAAACGAGCCCUCAAUACCAGCAUCGUCUUCAUCUAAUGGGCCAUGGCCUACUACAUCAUCUCCCGAUGCUGGCUGGUGAGCUCCUACCUUGAGGAGCAUCCAAUCUAGCUGUUCGACGUGUAAAUGCUCCCAUUUUCAAAGCUACAGCAAUACCAAUGACCCAGCUAUCUCAUACGCAUCUGGUUUAGUGGCCCUACAGAGCUCGUGAUAAAAGAAGGCCAAAGUAAAGUUGCCCCAACUCAUCUGUCCAUAUGCAUGGAGAUCACGUAGUAGUAGUAAAUACAACAACUGCACAUGGAAACUAGAUUUAUCGGUAAAUAGAUGGCCGUCGAUAGACAUAGAAUGAAUGCUCGAGCAUAUCUCUACACAGUCUCAUUAUCUACAUCAUCUGAUAAGUGGUGGAACGUGUCUUGAAGUCAGUGAAAUCUCAAUGAAGACCCCGACUAUAUCGCUUCUGACGGUCUAAUCCCAAACAACUCUUCAUAGAGAUUCGACCAGAUGAUCUGUGCAGUACUGGUGAUGGCAAGCCUAUGCACCCGUAAUCCAAAGAGAACAACAAUAUCCUGCAAUAUCCUGCAACGUGAUCGUCACCUUCCCGAUGUGGAGGUAGAAAGUGUGAGUCUCCUGAUGCCAUCACUCUACCAUGACUGUGAUGAGGGUCCAAUCAAGCUGUAUGUUGCAAACUCUAAAAAUUUCAUAAAAAUCAACCACAUGAAGAUACUCUACGAUCCUCUUACAUGGCCAUCAGGCGUGCAUCGCGAUCAAGUCUCUGUGUCUACAGCGUAAGGGCCCCAUGUCCUCCUUAGAAUAUAUACGAUCACUAUGGUGUUAGGUCUGAAGAUACAGCAUGAUAGGAUCAAUCGGUCUCGGAUGUACGUCGUAGUCUGAACCAACCAUGUCUGAGGCACAAAAUGAAAGACGAGCUAAUGACAGAGAUAGUAACAAACAUCAAAGAUGGUAAGAAAUAUCAAAGAUGAUAAAUAGCCAAUAUUAACAAUAGGAUCAUUUCACAAAUUUCUUCAAAUAUUUACAAGACAUGAUUACAUAACUAAAAUAGUUUAAAAAGAACACAAGCGAUAUAUAAAGAUAAUCUACAUGUCACAUGAAAAAAAAAGAUAAAUCAACGCGGUUGGGGGCAUCUACGUCAGUUGUGCCCCAUUUGGUUGUGUAUAAUCAGGUUCAUCGGGACUAUAAUACCUGCAUCUCAACCAAAUCUCAUACAAAUCCGAUUGAUUAUUGUACUUAAUCACACCAUGCUUCCUAGACUUCAACUGGCAUCCAUUUAACUUACAUAUAAUUUUAUCAGUAAAUAUCCUGUCAGCCUCUCUCCUCUGUGUUGCUAUUGCAUGUCGCACACUAAAACACUUCAACAAACAUUCAAAGGAAAGACGGAUAAGUGCAGAACUGGCAAUGAGCGAAUCCCCUUCAAUACCUUAUUGAAACUUUCGGAUAGAUUCGUAUUCAUUAUUCCGUACCUAUGUCCACUCGUAUCAUGCGCUAGCGAUCAUUUACUCAGAUCAUUAAGUGGAUAUCUUUUAAGGUAUUAAAAGAAAUUAGGCCUUAUUUUCUCAAUGUGUUGCAUGCUUCGAUCGAACUUUCAAGGUUGAUUUUGCUCUGCAGGUUGAUGAAAAUAAGCUAAAAAUAUCGUAUCAUAAAAUUGACCAUUUAGAUUUAUCUCAAUAUGUCUAAAGCACAAUCUGUGAUACUCAUAUAGUGCUAUCCAUCCAACAGAUUCAUCUAAAAUAGCAACUAAUAUUUUCUUAUACCGAUCUGAGAAUAUGUCGAUUCCCAUUCGAUCAUGUUACACAUAAUGGCGCAAACACCAUAAAAAUCAUGACCAACUACCAUGGUUCUCGCUUUCACAAAUGAUAAAUGUCAGAGGAUAGAUACUCCUAUUUUCAUCCCUCCCUACGGCUAUCAUGAGUGUAUCCUUAUAUCGACUGUACAUAUACAUUACGUCGAUACUUCAAUACUAAUCAGUGGAUGGUAGAAUUGGAAGCCCUGAAUGCAUGGCCUGAAUGUCCAAAAAACUCGAUGGAACACCUCGAUAUUUGGCUCUGUCAUAAAAAAUUUUGCAAAAUCUACCACAAUUCCCUCAUUGGCACGACAAACUACAGCUAGCCAAAGACUUAAUGUAUCGUAGGAUUUGAUCCAAUCUCUAAAUAGCUCAUUGAUAAUAAGUUGUUUAGCUAUCCAUGCCUCGCACUGUCAUGUAUCACGUACAUAAGCCUGACAGGCUGAUAUGGAUAUGGAUGUUUCUGCCAUAAUCGAUCCUCUAAUGAUAUCGGCAAUCAUGCGUGCAUCAAGCUAUGGAUAAUUUCGCAUCACAUCUGUAUUCAAGUAUAUGUAGAGCCCUUUAUAUACUGUAAUCUCUUAUCGCUGUGUUUUGGUUCGACAGUAUGCUCGAAGAUGCCAGCUACAACUCUGACUAUUUGCACACGAUGCUCCAUUUAAUUCUAUCUAACUCGACGACUUUGAAAAGAUGGUGGAUGUGAAUGGUAUAUUAUUUCAUGGUAUGUUGGACUUGUUCUUUUGAUCUGUAUAUCAUUUUCUUUUUUAACUCUUCAUUCUCACCAAAGAAUGGAUGGUCUGACAAUGCUCCAUGGGAUGCGACCUCAUCAUCGUCGGAUGCAUCAACUAGCCUGAAUUCAAGAAUAAGGGUGUCUCAUAUGGUGGGACAUUCUCUUUUGUACUAGACUCCCCACUAUCACUGCCAUCAGACUCUGCAUCAUCAAUAGGAUUAGGAUCAUAACUAACAGCGACUUCAUUUUCAAAUAAAAUUGUAUCGACUAUUGCGGUUCUCAAUCCUCUAAGUCCGGUAUGUGCUGCAUGUGGCUGAUUAAGUGAUACAGGGUCAUAAGAUUCAUGCUCCACAUGCUCUAUGAUAGCUGCCACAUAACUAGGACCAGCCUCAGUAUCAUCAAAUACCGUGUUAUAUGGAUAUUGAUAUGCAAACUCUGCCCCUACCAUAUACUGAGGACUAUCAGUUAUGAAUGCUAUUGGUCCACCAACGAUACUACAGAGGUAUCUCCAUACUCAUAUCCAGCUUCAUCGACCAUUGGAGUUGCAUUAGAUAGAGAUCCCCCCAUCCCCGACCGUGUAAGUGAGGCAGAUACAAUCUUAGAUAUACUCACAUACUAUUCAUCACCAUCCAAAACUCUUAUUGCUGUCGGCUUAAUGAAAAUCUCAACUGCUAGAAAAACCUCUUAUGAUGGAAUGCCCAAGAUGGUGUUCGUGUUCUGAUCAUCUUUAAUAGGUAUAGCCAAAUACCGUCCGGCAAUAUGAAUCGAAAAUUGAUAGACUAAGAAAACUCCAUAGUGAUUGGGUUUCCAUCCGGUGACAACAUAGCUGACCCGCAUAAAUUCUUGAUAUGUUGCAUUAUAGUUCACCAUGGUCAUCCAAAUCCUUCCACCAUCAUAAUAUGCACCGUUAGUGUCAUGAUUGAUUCUCUCAUCCUAAUGGAAGAUAACAAUGAUAAGACUUGGAUCUAUUUUAUAGAAAAUUAUUGUGAGAAGUAACUGCAUGAAUAUAUGAACAUAUACAUUUACUAGGAGGAAGUACUUAAUAUUUAAAAUAGCUUACAUAAUAAAUGCAUCCUAUCAUCAACUAAUAGAUAUAAAAGAUUCUAUUCUAUUCAGAAAUUAUAUUAAUUUUAUAAGUCAAUUAUAGUAAUCAAACGAUAUACAAUAGAGGCCGAAAGAAAUUUUGAUAUCAUUUUUCUUAAUUCUCUCUAUACAGCUGAAGAUGUGUGAGAAGAACUAAAGAAAAAUACUGUCUGAAAUUUUUUUCGAACCCUCAACAUACCGUUUGAUUACUGUAAUUAUCUAUAGAAUUAAUUAUAAUUUUCAAACUGUCUAAACUAGACAGUCAAUUGACCAAUAUAUAUAAUUCUUCCAUUCGUACAAAAAUAUAUAAAUAUGCGGACAUCGUAGAAUAUGUACAUUAAUCAAAAGAUGGAUCUAUAAUUCUAUGCAAUGCAAACUUAUUUUCAGCUCUACACCUCAUUUUGUUUAGACAUAAAUCCAAACCUCCUUAGAUUGAUUCAUCCUACAUCUGUAAAUAUUCUAAGCUCUAGCAACUAAAACUAGAACUUUAAUUACCCAUCUCUUAUAACAACAGAUGCCCAAGCUUUGACUAUACAUGCAAGACCACUAAAGAUUAGCGUCAAUAGGCCAGUAAUUAGGAGCACGUAUAGGCCAGUCAUGGAACAAGAAAGACCUUGCUAGUAUAGGCUUACUGCACAUAUCUUUAAAUGGAGGCAAAACAUGAUGAUCCUUCUCCACAUUUCUCUCAAAAAGCAGAUGAAAUUAAAAGAAUAAGAAGCAAAAAAAAUAAAAAAAAAGCUCGGACUUACUUUUCUGUACGUCCGUAGAUUUUCCUCAGUCUUUUCUGAUCUUCCCCCGAUCGAGAAGAGCUCUAUCACGGCAACUGAGGGAGGCCACCGGUGGAUGGGAGAUGGAAGGGGCAUGAGAGAGAGAGAGAGGAGCUCUAUCACGAUGGCUGGAAUCCUAGAUGCGAAAAUGGGGAACCUCUGUCGCGGUGAGAGGCAGCACGAAGAAGCUAAGGGAGGAAGAAGAUCACGGGGGGAUAUGGCGGGUUAGUGAGUUGUUCUAUCAUAAGGUGACUCAUAUAGUCAUCCUACCAUAGGACGACUUACUGAAGCGCUUUAUCAUAAGGCUACUUACUAAGUUGCUAAUCCCACCAUCUACAUGACGUGAAUUAUAGUGAGUCAACACAUAAAGUCAUUUUAUGAUAGGACGACUUUAUUUUAAAUAAUAUUUUGAUAAAUAUUUUUAAAAAAUAUUUUUUUAUAAUUUUUUAAAAUAAAUAUUAUUUAAAUAAAAUUAUCUAAUUAAAAUAUGAUUUAAUAAUAUAAUAAUAUAUUGUACUCUGCUCCUUCACGUCAAUUAAUGUUCCACCAUCCAUGUUCCAAUUCUAACAUGUCCAGCUCUCCAGCAUUAAAACAAAAUAACCUCAAAGAUAUCAAGCCAGCCGGCCCAAGACAAAAAUCUUAAAACUUCUUCCUUCCAAAGCGUUUCAGCUACUUCACAUCCUUUAAUUCUGCUGAGUUGCAAGACAGUGGGCAUGGUAAAGGAGGCUAAAAAGACAGUGGCUUGGAUUUCUCUACAUGCAACCAAUUGAAGCACUAAUGUGCAUGGUUGGUGCGAGAAAUUUUUCAAAGAUUAAGAUUAUUGGAUCACUGAAACGGAUGGCAAGUACCAUAAUUAAAUUGAACUUCAGAUUUAUCUUGGUCAAAAGCCUUCAGCCCACUUCUCUCCCAAAUUGUGAAUUUUUUUUUUUCCACUUUAUUCUGAGAGCUAUUGCUUCCCUUUUCAACCUCCAUAAGCAAAUAGGAUUUUGUGGAGGGACUUGGAAGCAAAACAGAUCAGGUCUACACUAUCCUUGUUCGUAAAGUAUGCUGCAAAUUACAGCCUGGCUUGCGUGCUUGUCUCAGAUGAAAACGAUCUUAAAAGGGUACUCAUGUAGAUUAGAUUAAGGGUGCCCAACAUAUACGUAUCAUAGAAAAAAUAAAAGUGGCUUCAUGUUCGAGGUCUAUUACCAAUAUACAAAGAGAUAGAACAUGGGCAACCAGAAUUUACAUGCUUUGCGUUCUAUGAUGCCGUUCUCACUUACAAAAAUGCUCAUCCAACAUGAAAUAAGAUUUUAAUGACUAAAUGCAUCUACUUGUGUUCCGUAUGAUGUCAGACAUUCUUAAAUUGAUCGGAGAUAAUAGGGAUUUGGGUUGUAUCUUUCAUGCGAAAGAAUGAUUGAUCUUCUUUUGCAAGGCCGACUGUUGGAUUGCACCUCGCAUAAAUCACAAAGCACUCCAAACGCCCUCGUUCAUCCACCUGCACAGAUCCAAUGGUGACGCAUAAAGGAAGGUGAAUCCUUCUCCUGCGAGAAAGAUGCAACCGUCCAGAUAAUAGUAGACACCACUACUCCAGUCUUCCUUGUUUGGACAACCAGGUUAGUUUUGCCGUAUUUGAUAACUUCCAUGGUGUAUAAGACAAAACUCGAAUGAGUCAAAGGCCUUGUAGACUCUGCCAAUGUUCCAAGUAGAUUUUGAGCACUCAUGUGAGUAAUGAACCAGGCGAGUAACAUGUACAAGCCAUCCAUCAUCCAUUGGAAUAUGCAAUAGUCCUGAUUAUAAAUUGUGCCAUACGCCAGAUUGCCGAAUCAAGGAGAGCCAAAACUAAACUAGCAGGCAAUCUCCAGGUCUCACAUGAUCCAGAUAUCUUGUGACCUGAUGAUAUGGAAACUUCAAACCUAGGAAAACUAGAUCAAAUCCAAACCAAAUAAACCAGUCCAAGCUUUACGGUUCAAAAACACGUAUUGACCUACAUAAUUCAGACCCAACAGAGACGCACAAAUAAAUGGGUGGGGUCUAAUGUCCAUAUCCUCCGCCGGUUGAUUCGAGCUCGGGUCAGGAUGACCAACUUGUACAUCUACCAGACCAGACAACCAAAGGACAAGAAAUUCUGGUCCAUUGUGGUGUCCUCUUCUUCUACAGUCUUCAUCUAAACCUUCUCAGACUUUCUCGCUAUUCUAUCAAAUGUCAUUUUGCCUUUUUCCUCUCUCGUCCACUACGUGGUACCGUCGGUUUUCGUUCAAAGUCUGCCGGGCUUGCGUGGGAACCUUGAAGCGGUCAUCCAAAUGUUCGUGGAACGGAAGAUGGAAGCGAAGAUGUUGGACUUUAGACUUCUACGGCCCACAGGAAGUUCUCCGUUGCUUCUCCAUCAGACCUAAGUUUCCAAAGAGUUGUCCUCUGUUGACUCACGUGCAUGGGAAUCCACCAUCCACCCGACCCUAGUCUUCAGCCUAGGUCAGUGCAGGACAUUUUUAAAAGUAAGACUAAAUCCAGCAUGUGAUCUACUAGCUUCUAGUUUCAAUUGUUUAUUUCUUCCGAUCAGUUCUCUUGGAUAGCCUUUUUUUUAAAAAAAAAAAAAUUACGUACAAGUUUUUGAAUGGAAAGAGGUCAUUUAGUAGCCUCUUCAACCCAUGACAGAACCACUUUUUGAUGGACCAACCUCAAGCCUACACGUAAAGUAGUUAGCAAAUAAAUAAAAAGACAUAACGUUAAGUAAUAAACCAAUAUUUCAACUGACACUUGUUCUUCAACCUACCACCCAGGGAAAAUAGAAGUUAUAUUAAGAGCAUGCUUGGUUUGGUUUGGGAAAAUAAAAAUUAUAUUAAGGGCAUGUUAGGUUUGGAAGAUUCUUAAAUGAGAAUAAAAAAUAAUAACUUCCACUUCAACCAUUUGAUUAAAAAGAGAUCUAUUUCCAUUCUGAUUUGGAGAGAAUCAAAAUAUUUCAAUUCUUCAAAACUCAAUUCUUAUCCUUUCUUUAGAUUCAAAUUUUAUUUUGAUUCUGAUUUCGAUUUCAAUCACGAACUAAAUACGUUGAAAGAUAUGAUCGUUUUAAUUCUUAUUUUAAUCUAUUUCAAUUCUAAUUCUGAUCCAGAUUCUAGCCAUGAAUCAAAUGCACACUAGGUUUAAAAUAAAAUUAAAGGUAUAUUUGAUUUACGACCAAACUUAGAUGGGAAUUAAAAUAGACUAGACUGGGAAUUAAAAAGAAUAUAUCUCUUGAUCCAUUUGGUUCGUAAUUAGGAUCAAAUAAGAUUGAAAUAUUGUGGGAGAAUAGGAAUUAGAUUUUGAGAAUUAAAGUAUUUUUAUUUCCCCCUAAAUAUGAAUGGAAAUAAAAAAAAACCCUCCAACCAUUGACUGGAAUGGGCAUCAUUUUUUUUUUUUCUAUUUUCAUUUUCAUUUGGGGGUCCAACUACUCCAGGUUUAUCGUAGAGACCAAUGUAUCGGCGGAAACCUCUUGCGCGAAAUGCCCGUUAUGAGCCAAGUGAAUGGUUUCACAGUUGGGCAGCAUGAAUGGUAUCGUACGCUGACAAAACAAAAAUUUCUAUGUGCGCUUCUGAACCAAAAAUCACAUGGCUGGUUGGACUAGAGUAGACCUAAAUUUACCAUGCAGUAAAUUUCAGUGGGUGGGUUCUUGGUAAGUCAAAAAAAUACAUCGAAUCAAAGCAUCCCACCUAUAUCAGCAUACCAGUCCCAAAGAAAGCUACCCAAUCGACAACCGUUCAAAAGUUUUUAAGAAGAGAAUUAAUAAGCGACCAGCAUACCUCAAUAUUCCACAGGAAGGCUUCAAACAGAUCAUAAAAACCACACAUUGAAAAAUCUUGUGAACAGUGGAAGCGUGACAUUGUAUCUUCUGGAGAUACUACCAGAAAUGUUGGUUUGUUCCCAACUCUACACUAGAUCACCCAACCUAAGUAGAUAUAAAUUAAAUUACACUCUAAUUAAUGUAUACAAGUAUAAACAAUUUGGUGCAUGUACUAGUCACCAAUCAUAACCGGCGCAUGCGCUACGCAACCAAUUUAUUAUAUACCUAAUGGCUUGCUUAAAAGACAAACCUAAAACCUAGAGUUCAUCAGGUUGGCUCCUAUGUCGGAAAAGGAACAGAGCUUGAACAAGCCAUUAUGGGUCAACAGGCAAGCAGCUUGGCUUGCCUGCCUUCUGAGAGCCAUCACAGUCCCACUGUAUAAUGUUCCGAGCAGCGACUCCAGUAUAUGGUAUCUUUAAGGAGGAGUACAGGUGGGGGUAUGUCUUGUGGCAGGAAAAUAGAGGACACAGACAACCCCGGAGACCGGGAAUCUUCUCUGCAUCUGAUCUGCUGCCUCUCUUUCACUGUCCGCUUAAUUACCUCACCGGAGUAGAGAAGCGACUACUGGAUGAUGGGGUGGGUAAGGUUACCUGCCCGUCAAACGGUCAAAUUAUGCCAUCUAGAGAGAGAAGGGGUUCUAACUUCUACGUCGCCACGCGCUGUCCUUCUUAAUUUAUUUCUUUCUCGCCCUCUCUCUCUCUCUUCCCGUGAGGAAUAAGAGGCGGGGAGCCGCACGCAAAACGCCAACGAGUGGCAAAGCCAUGGGUCCCACCACCCACGUGCAUUGCCCGCGCCCGGAGGGAAGAUCCAACGGUUCGAUAUGCAGAUGUCUAACGAUGAGAUUUUACAACCUCAGAGCAGGAAAUUUAGAAGAAAAUAAUCAAAUAUUUGCAUGCUUGCUUCCAUGAACCCAUCUCUGUCCACUUUUCCAAAAAAAAUCCAUCUCCAUCCAAACUCCCACGAUUUGAUUAAGGAAGUUUUGAAGACUUUUACUUGUCAGAAUUUAUUUUUAAAAUUUACUGAAUAUAUACUGCAUGUGUUCUAAAGACAAUAAAAUUAUAGCAUCACAUAUAAUUACACAUGAUAUGUUGCCUCUAUCAUAAUUCUAUAUUGAAAAUAGAGAUAAUUAAUAUUUUUUUGGAGACAGACAUUAUGUUGACUCAAAAAUAUAGUGAAAAUUUUUUAUCCAACCGAAAAGGAUGUCUAUUGUAGGUGAAAUCACACUCACCUAUACCAUCUAUAGUUCCUAGUAAGGUCAACAACUCCGGUUCAAAAAAAUUUCUAGUGGAUCACUAAAGAUAUUAUAAGUUUUUUUUUUUUUUGAGUAAGUAUAGAUGAAGUUGAAUGCGGCCAGAAUUAUGGCAACUCGCCAUCGCCACUUUAUCAUGCUACAGAGUAAUAUUGAAUGCCUCCAACUCGGAUAACUUGCGUCCCAUAUACCAACUUGAAUAUAUAAAUGUUUUCUUUUAGGAUUUGUUCGGACGCCCUAAUUUCAUAUCAACAAAUAAUUUUUAAUGUAGUUUUCGUACUCUUAAGAUGGCAACUGACGCUCUCUUUUACAGAGAAAGGGAUAGAGGAGUUGACCACAACUAGUUUCAAUGUUCCGCAAACAAACAAAAAAAAAAAAAAAAGAAGAAUAGAAGAAUAAUUUCCUUUACCCAUAAAAAUUGAGCUUAGAUGUGAUGACUGUGGGCUUCCUCACCCCUAUAAGCCCUCUUUCUCUUCCCCACCACAACGCAACAAAACUGCCCAACCUUCAUAAUUUCAAUACACUGAUGCAUUUAUUCUGUCUGCAAGAAAACAAACCACAAUCUAAUUGCAUGCAACCAAGUGCCGUUAAACAUGCCAUAAUUGUUCAAGACACGUUUCCUGGAAGGAACAAAUAUAUCAUAUACCUGAGAAGAGGACGGACAAAUCAAUCAUAUUUAUAUAUUCUCUUAUUCACUCAACGAAUGCAGUAUUCAUUCUAUACCAAAAAGGAGUCAGUAUUGAAUCUACUAGUUCUCACCACAUUCUUUUGUUUCUUUAUUAAACAAUAUGCCUAUAUCCAUGAACAAAUGAGUCAGUUUGAUAUUUAUCUUUUCCAAAUAAAAAAUAAAAACCACAAAUUACAUUAAAAAUGAAACAGAGAAAUCCACCAGAAAAGCCCAAAAUAUUAUAAAUAGAAGAGAUAUAAAGGCUUGGGCAAAAAAAAAAAAAAAAUCCACCAUCCGGUCAUUCCCAAAAGACCCCUGCUAGCUCUUCCAGGCGUAGACCAAGAGCGAGAACCCGUCGGCGCUCUGCAGCGCCGCCUCUUCGGGGCUCGCCCACUCCAUCACCGUCGAGCUGCUUGCCGACGACGCCGACGAGGAUGACGACGAGGAGCUCGUCUUCAACAAACUUUUCUUCCUCCGCCUGCUCCUCUUCCCCUCGCCACCCCCGCCACUGCUGCUCUCGCUCCAAUUCCGGUUCUUCCGCGUAUAACCCCCCAUCCCCUUGCAGCACACGGUCCUCGCUGGACCGCCGAAGCCUUCCUUCCCGAAAUGCCCCUCCUCCCCGGCCUCUCGCUCGAACCGGAAGACGAACACGGCGUGCCCGAGCUCGGCCGCCGCCGCGGCGGUGGAGGCGGUGGCGGGGGGCUCGUCCUUGGGCUGGAAAAGCCAGUUGUGGAGGUCCCACGAGACUUGGAUCCGGGUGCCGCCCUCCACCUCCACCCGCUCGCUCCCCCGGAACUUCCACCCGAGCCGCCGCACCUGGAGGACUCUCUUCCCGUCGACCCCCAACAACAUCCCUACAUCCCUCUCCCUCUCCUUUGUUCCAAGAUCGAUCGAGAUCUCCCUCUCUUCCCCCCCGAACCGCGCCAUCGUCUUGUACGAUCUCCCGUCGCCGGAGUCCCCUAAGACUACGUGCUCCCUUCUCGAGAUCAGGAUCGGGUUCGAGCUAUUGCCCCUCCCGGCUUUGCUCUUUCUGUAGGCCUCCUCCAAGAGAUCGCCCGCGACGAGAAGCAUCUCGCCGUCCACCGCCACGGCGACGAAGUACCUGGAGGAUGGCUCGGGGCCGCCGCCGGUGGGGAACCGUGCCCGAGUCAGGUCCCACGAGAACUCCACCGUCCGGUGCUGGCGGUGGUCCUUGAGGUGGAACCACUUCGACCCCCUCCGCUUCCAGAACAGCCACGGCCGGACGUGGAACCGGAAGGUCUCCUCGUCGUCAUCGUCCUCCUCCUCCGCUACCGCUGCGGCUCCGCCGCGGCCGAAGCGAAGGUCCGCGCGAAGGGAGAGGCCAAAGACGGUGCGGGACCAGGAGAGGGCGGCGAGGCCGAGGUGGGUCUCGUAGACCGAAGUCGUCAGGCUAGGCCCGGCCGCCGUCGACGCCGGCAGGCGCCCGGCCGCGCCGCCCCGGAAGCAGCUUGGAAUCGGAUCCGGCAUCCUCUUCUCCUCCGCUUCCCUUUUCUUCUUCCAAAUCACCUCCAAAAUUCUCAGAUUCGUAGGAACUCGAAGCUGGAAAGGAUCAAACAAGCUAGGUGGUGUCUAACAAAAAUCCCAAACUAGUAGAUAGCUGGUGGAAUAGAGAAGAAAAAAAAAAAUCCAAAGGCGAAAGCUAAGACCAGAGACAGAGAAAGAGAGGGUUUAAGUAACAGCUGGAACCAGAACAAGACCAAACGACCGACCUAUUUUUAAAAAUAAUAUUAGAAGAGCGGGUAUCGAUAGUGGUCACCCGGCGGUGACCUUAACCGGGAAAGAUCAAAGGAGAAAGCGUGGCCCUUGAUCUGGUGGACCCCAGUGCCCUUCGCUGCAUGGAUCCCGGGGGCUUUUGGGAUUCCCACUUUAAUCUGCCAACAGUAAUGAGGUCGUUAGAGUAAUAAUAAUGUUAUAAUUGUUUAUUAGUUCGAGAAGAAAAGGACAGUUUUGUUUUAGGUUAAUGAGAGUAGAAGAAGGCGUUGGGUGGAAGGGGGGACACGUGAGUUUGGGCCGUGUGGAUGGGUGGAACUUGGGUGUGAGAUCAUCGGAUUCUAAAGCGUGUGGCUAAUUGUGGUCAAAGUUGGGGUUGGGCUUGGGCUUGGCUUCGGGUUGACCCUGUAAUACGCGAGAAGUUUGAAAGGUAAGUUUGAAAGGUCAACAAGUUUAGGAUUUGUCUGGAAAGACCAAAUCAAAAACCAACUCUUGCCUGGAAGCUCCGUCAUAUUUUGAGAUGGUAAUUACAGGAAAAUUGGUUAGAUCUUCUAAUUUGGAUGCUAUAAUUGUAUAGGACUUGACAUGGAUCAGGUCAAGUCUGCAAUAUGUACAACUAGUACUAUUAAGCAUGUCCCACAUGUGACAAAAAUUUGAUAAUUAUAUAUAUAUAUAUAUAUAUAUAUAUAUAUAUAUAUAUAUAUAUAUAUNNNNNNNNNNNNNNNNNNNNUAUAUAUAUAUAUAUAUAUAUAUAUAUAUAUAUAUAUAUAUAUAUAUAUAUAUAUAUGUGUGUGUGUGUGUGUGUGUGUGUGUGUGUGUGUGUUUUUGAUAGCAGAAUUUUUUCUAGUUCUAUCUUUGAGAGAAGGGCAAUAACUACACAAAGAUAAAGUGUUACAUACUAAAUAGAAAAAAUUAUCUAUCAGUUCUUAAUUUGACUUAGAAUUAUCUUUAAAUUUCUCAAGUUUUUAGUUAGAAUAAAACAUCCAUGGACUGCUAAUGACAUAUUUUUGGAUCCCUACCAUUUACUAUUAUCACCUGCUGCCGUUUAAGCCCAUUUAAAUGACAGAAAUGGCCUUGAUAUUUUUGGAGGAAAAAAUUAACUCUCAUCUCCAAUCCAUCGUCCCCAACUCCAUCCUCUUCCUCUUCUCACGCUCCGACGCCAUCGACCGUGACCUCGACAGCACUGCCAUCCGGCCACCCAGGCGCACGCAGCCACCACCCUCCCUUUUUUCUCCAUCUCCACCAGCAGCAGGCGGCGAAAAUUUUUCGGUACGUCUUCUCUUUUUCCUAUUCUCCUUUUUCUUCUUUUUUUCUUUGAUCUCUCUCUCUGAUGGUCCAGACUGGCGACGGCGAUAACUGCUUCUUUUUCUCCCCCGUCCUAAGCUUCGUGUUGCUCGGUUUAUCCGUAUUUUGUGGUAUGUAUAAUCAUUAUGGUAAAGUAUGUAAUCAAAAUUUUAAACUGUGUACUGAUUUAUUAUCAUUAUAUUUUAUUACAUGCUCUAAAUAUAACAAACAUCUUAUUUAGUUAUUUGAUGUAUUUAUUUUAUGGCAGGAAAUGGUUAUAUCGACUCGAAAUACUACUAGAAGAAGGAGAUCCAAGGAGAAAAAGAGAAAAGCAGGGAGAUGACGUAUUAGAUUGAAUUACCUGCAUAUUUAAUAGGGGAGUUAUGUGGAUUGCUGAUUUAGUUACGUAAGUAUUUACUUGGUUACACAUAUAUCGAUUAUAAUCAUCUGUAUUUAUACUUUGAUUACAGAAUUCACUUGUUAAGUUUGGUUGCAUAGAGUCCUGAUUAUAUAUACUUUCUAAGUGUUUACUUUUUAAAUUAACUGUGGUUACAUAAUUGAUGUUUUCUCUUUGCAGAUUUGAUGAGUUUUUAUGUUUAAGAUUUUUAUUUUAUAUAGAUUACAAAUAAAUCAGAGUUAAAGAAUGACAUCAGUGAAGAUGAGAAAGAGAAAGAAGUUGAGAGAGGUGAGGGCAGUGAUAAGAGGGAUAAGAGAAGUGAUAAGAGCCCUCUAAUUAAUUGUCGCUGUUAUAUUAUAUCAUAUCAUCUCUUCAUAUUGAAAGUUAAAAAGAAAAUGAGCCAACACCACUUAAGCCGCACAGGCAUGACUCUAUUUUAUGUGUUGCUUGAUGUACCCUCUAUCAAAUAAAAGAGAACAAUUAUUGAUGAUCUACUUACAACGUAUGAUAUAGAUUCUGCUUGUUUUAGAAUAAGUAGUCACUUAUUGAGAUGGAGUGCAAGGGAUGUUGGCUUGAUUUUGGAUAUUUCGAUAUAUGGCGCUCGUGUCAGUUUCAAAGUGGGUGCUUGAAAAAAGAUUGAUAUAGUUAGAAGCACUUUGACCAGAGAAUAUAUGGCAAUGAGACAUUUAAGCGAAAAAGAUUGGAGGGACUUAUACUAUCCUUAAAAGAGAGAGAGAAGGGAUGGAGGACUUUGAAGAUUUUAUCCGCCUCAUGUGUUUAUACAUCAUGGGAUAUUUUUAUUCUCGAUAAAUAACAUGAAAGUUGCUAAAUAGAUCUUUAAGUACAUAUUCUAAUUUUUAUAAUUUUGAUUUAUUUAUAAACUUAUAUAUUAGAAAUAUUUACAGUUUUGUUUAUUGUAUAGAUAUGUGGAGAAUCCCUCUUCAUUUUCUAACUUUGCAUGGGGUCAUGCCGUGUAUAAUUUCAUGCAUAGCAUUAUCAAAGAAAAGAUCUUAUUGGUACAAAAAUAAAAUACAGAUGAAAAGAUGAAUGUUGGGUACUUAAGGGGUUGUAUAACCACUCUUAGUAUAAAUAUCCAUCACCUCCAUUAUGCUUUUUAUAAUUUUGCAUAUAUUUUGCUGCAAUGUAGUUUUUAAUUCCCAUAUGAUGCAAGUAUGGUUAUAUAAGGUUACGGGUUUGGUUAAUUGUGCCCACUAUAAAUUUUUUCUCCAUAUUUUAAACUAUAGUAUAAAGAAGUUUUUAAUUCGGGAUAAACUGCAAUCUAGGAUUACUAAAGUGUCACCCAAGAAUGUAAGUAUUUUCAAUUUUAGAAAGAUAUUUUUUUUUAGAAUAGAGGAUAUGUGCUUUUAUUUCACAAGAUUGCUGAAAUCCAUACAUUUUUAAUCUUGAAAUUUAUGUGCAAUAGAUUAUUUAUUCUAAUAUUUAAUUUUGCAGAUAUAACCCUUUGUAGAGGAAAAGAAAUGGCUCUUCCAAUCAAGUGAAGGACAGUGCUCACAUCGAUGCUAUUGUCAAGAUAAGAAGUGGGCUGUCCAAGAAGAUAAAAUCUGAGAUGAAGAUGAGAAAAGAAAAAAUAGAAGAGAAGAGAGUGGAUAGAGGGAGAGGGUUAAGAAAAAUGAAAGAGAUCAUCUCACACUACAAAAAAAAAGUAUCGAAAGUUGAGAUGGAUAAUUUAUGGACUAAGAAAGAAAAAUAAAAUUCUAAAGCAGAGAAUUGUUGAGCUUGAAGGAAGCCUUAUGCCUCCAAAGGAUGAGGAAGAAGCUGAGAUUGGAGAUGAUGGAGCUCUAUCCAAAUUUUUUAAUGAUUGUUUUGAUCUUCCUUCAGUAGGUGCUGAAAUUAUGAAGAAAGAAGAAUAUGAUCAGAAAAAGGAGGAUGGUGUUAGGAAGAGGAGCGGCAUAGGCGAGUUAAUAAAAAAAUCAAGUUCAAUAGUUAGGAUGAUGAAGAGUAGGGGCAAUAGAGAGAAAUCUAUAAAGAUAAAAAGUCCUUAUGCAAUCUUACCAUCCGCCGAUCAAUGAGAAAAAAAAUAAUUGAAGAAGCCCACAUGCCAGGCACUCCACCCUCCACUGUUAAAUCUGUCAUUGAUGCAAAUAGCGUGACUACUCAAUUCCAUCUAGUAUGCAAAUAACUAGACUCUUUUUUUUUUAAAGCAUACAACGAUACUUAUAAACUCAAUUUUACUUUUGAUGAUAUUCAGGUGUACCAUAAGAAAUGACUGGAUUACCUAGAGGCAAAAUAUAUUAUAGAGGAAGAGAAGAAGACAAUAGCGAGAUUCUUCAUACUGAUAAUGGACCGAUAAUAUAUUUUUAGUUACACUGAAAAUGUCAUCGGUUACAUAUUUUUGCCUUUGGUUAUACUUCUUCAAUAUUGAUUGCACAGUGCUAAUCUGUGGUUACAUGAGUUUUCUAUGUAGUUACAGGACAGUAGUUUGGUCCAAUGGUAAUCUUAUUUCACGAAUGUAAGUUCGUGAGCUACUAUUCAACUAGAUAUUGGAAGAUGAUGUAAGUUGAUAUAUAAAAAUCAUUUAGGAUAACAAUGAUUGAUUAAUAUUUUUAAAUUCAUUGAAUUGUUAUACAGUUUAUCGAUGCAUUAAUGGCACUCUUUUGCAAGCAUCAGAAAUUUGAACCAAAUAAGCAUCUUCCUUGUGUAGUCAUCAGGCUGUGGCUGUUGGUGAGUUUUUGGUUGGAGUUUCUUUACUUUGAAAUCAUCCUGUAUGUUAUUAUUGAUCUUGUAUUUUUGGUGUUUCCUAUAGCAACAUGCACAAUAGAGACUCUAGAUAUUUUCGGAUAAUGUUCUCAAAGGUUUUCAAUUCAAAAUUAAUGUGGCAAAAUUGACCUUUAUGCCCUUGUGUACAAACAGCCACCAGCACCUACUAGUGUGGAUAUAGAAGAGAAAUGCUUCAAGCAUUACUCCUCUCUCUUUUCAUCCACCUAUUAUCCUGAUGUAUUUAAUUUGGUAUGCUUCCUUAACCCUGUAUAUAUUGCCAUGGUAUAAAUCACUUAAAAUUUACUGAUUAAUUAUGAUAAAAAAAUUAGAUUUCUCAAUAUUUGGCUAAGCAUCAUAAUCUGCCCCAAUCUUCAGAUUAGCUGCUCCAACAAAUUGAUGAUUAUCCUCAGUAAGAUCCUAUAUGGGUAUCAGUUUAAUAUUAAACAAUCUCAUAUGUACUUGUCAUAAAUUUUAAUUUUAUGUUCGAUUACUAUUUUAAUUUUAGGAGCGUUGAUUGCAGAGUUUUUAUGACACACUAUAUGGAACUAUUACAACAUGGGGUACAAUUAGAUAUAGGACCGAGUGAUAUUAUAAGGCUACGAGCUGAAUAUAAUGCACUUCUUAUUCACGAAGGUUCAAAAAGAGAGAUUGUCUGUGAGAAAAUAAUAGAUAGAGGGUAUGCAGCCAAAAGUGUUACUGAAGUACAGUUUUUAAGUGACAGUAAGUAUGCUUAUCUGAUUCGUGUAUUUAGUUAUACGUAUAUUUGAUCCGGUUACAUAUUUUCAUUGUUUAGUUAUAUGAUUGUGUUUAUGCAUAUAUUGCAUGUUUUCAGUAAAGAAAAUACCUGUAAAUGAUGAAGAAUAAUUUGAGAAGUCUGCUGCAGAUGAAAUGAAAAAAGAUCGUGAAGCUACUAAUUAGCAUGGAGAGAGUGAGGAGACUGCAGCUAAUAGGGAUGGGGCUAGUACAAUAGGGGAUCAAUUGUGUAACUAUGGAUGGGCAAACUUAAUGUAACUUUUACUUAUGGAUGAACAAUUGAGAUAUAAUUAUGUAACCAAUGUUUAUUUUUAAUUAUAGAUUAUUUUUAAAAGAAUUUAUUGAAAACUGUUUAGGUUACACAGAUUUAUGUUAAGACAGUUUUUAUAACAGAUUACACAGAUUAAGACAGUGAAGACAGAUUUAUGUUCAGGUUACACAAGUUAUACAGAUUUGUAUUAAAGUUACACAACUUUAUAUUCAGGUUACAUAGAUUACACAGGUCCCUAUUUAAGUUACACGGAUUUAUGCUUAGAUUAUAUGUUGGACCAACAUGUCAGUUACUCUUCGUGCCAGUCGAUUGUCUGGUUAUGUGUCGGGCCAAUUAUUGAUAUGAGUGUCAACAGAACAUAACCACACAGGCUUCAAGAAUCAAAAAGACAGCAAAAAUAUGGAUUCUUGAUACAUUAAAAUUCUUCUUUAUUUAAACAACUAUUACGCUGCAUCCAAAAGAGAGUAAAUCUGAAACAAAUAAGAAAUAAUUAAUUAGCUUCAUACAANNNNNNNNNNNNNNNNNNNNNNNNNNNNNNNNNNNNNNNNNNNNNNNNNNNNNNNNNNNNNNNNNNNNNNNNNNNNNNNNNNNNNNNNNNNNNNNNNNNNNNNNNNNNNNNNNNNNNNNNNNNNNNNNNNNNNNNNNNNNNNNNNNNNNNNNNNNNNNNNNNNNNNNNNNNNNNNNNNNNNNNNNNNNNNNNNNNNNNNNNNNNNNNNNNNNNNNNNNNNNNNNNNNNNNNNNNNNNNNNNNNNNNNNNNNNNNNNNNNNNNNNNNNNNNNNNNNNNNNNNNNNNNNNNNNNNNNNNNNNNNNNNNNNNNNNNNNNNNNNNNNNNNNNNNNNNNNNNNNNNNNNNNNNNNNNNNNNNNNNNNNNNNNNNNNNNNNNNNNNNNNNNNNNNNNNNNNNNNNNNNNNNNNNNNNNNNNNNNNNNNNNNNNNNNNNNNNNNNNNNNNNNNNNNNNNNNNNNNNNNNNNNNNNNNNNNNNNNNNNNNNNNNNNNNNNNNNNNNNNNNNNNNNNNNNNNNNNNNNNNNNNNNNNNNNNNNNNNNNNNNNNNNNNNNNNNNNNNNNNNNNNNNNNNNNNNNNNNNNNNNNNNNNNNNNNNNNNNNNNNNNNNNNNNNNNNNNNNNNNNNNNNNGUUUGUCCAUUCUUUUUUAUAACUUCAUCUUAUCCGUACAUAUGAAUAUCAACAGAAUAUAACCAUAUAGGCUUCAAGAAUAAAAAAAACAGUAAAAAUAUGGAUUCUUGAUACAUUGAAAUCCUUCUUUGUUUGGACAACUAUUGAGCUGCAUUCAAAAGAGAGUAAAUCUGAAAUAAAUAAGAAAUAAUCAAUUAGCUUUAUAAAAAAUUAAUUUUUAUAACUUCAUCUUCUCUGUACAUAUGAGUCUCAACAAAAUAUAACCAUACAUGCUUUAAGAAUCAUAAAGGCAGCAAAAAUAUAGAUUCUUGAUACAUUGAAACCCUUCUUUGUUUGGACAACUGUUGAGCUGCAUCCAAAAGAGAGUAAAUCUGAAAUAAAUAAAAAAUAAUCAAUUAGCUUCAUAAAAACCUAACUUUUAUAACUUCAUCUUUUUCGUACAUAUGAGUGUCAACAGAACAUAACCAUACAGGCUUCAAGAUAUACUUAUUCUUAGCUAUUGGGGCAUUGCAUGUCUUCCGAUUGUGUCCUACAUUAUGACAUCUCUCAUAUUUAAGCGGACAGACUUUCUUUGAUUGAGAUUCAAUGUGCUUCUUUUUAGGCCUUCCUGCCUUUGGUUUGGUCAUAGACGAUUUUAUAAUCAGAUCCUCAUGCUUUACCCCUGUAGGUUUAGAAAUAUCCGUGAUAGGAAAGAUGGCAUGCUUAUACAUUCUCCGAUAAGCAUCCACUGUAAAAAAUUCAGAUACAUAUGUAUACACUGACUCAUGCUUUCUAAUUAUCAUUGCACAUCCAUGUGAGCAAGGAUGACCAUAGACCUAUCAAUACCUGCAUGAACAAGUACGGAUGUUAAGAUUAACUUCGUAUAGGCAAUCCGCGAUUAUUUCAAACCACUCGCCAUCCGAAUAUCGCACUGUAAGACCCCUUCCAUCUUCAAUGUUUAUAUUUAUUAGUUCCUCAAUCUUAGGAACUAGAUAUGUCUGCCAUUUAUGGGAGCGAUCACGUCUCUCAUGCAUCAAUUCCAUCAUCUUAUACUGUGGCAUGUCUACCAUAGGAGUUAUUAGAAGCUGUCGUGCCUCGUUCGUCCAAUUAUUAAAUGACUCCACAAUAUUAAAGUAUAUCUCCCCAUAUCGCUUUUCCUUAAAUAGAGUAUUUGGCCAGUGAUCAAUAUCUGAGCCACAUUCAAUCCAUUCCAUGCCUUCGGCGAAAUCUCUCUUAUAUCACUAAUAUAACCAAUGAAUUGUGAUAUCUGUAGAGCAUAAGCUACGCUAUCAAGUAGUUUCAAUACUUUUUUUCUUUGUGCUGCCGACAAUCCACCGAGCUUUUUCUUGAAAUUCUCCUUUAGAUAUAACCAUGGGUAGCAUCAGAAAAUAAAGUCUUCACACCCUUUGUCAAGCCUUUUGCCCUGUCUGAAAUAAAAUAUAAUUAAUGAUAGUAAGGAUCUUCAUUGUUAUAAAUUACAUCAUGGAGUUUUUCACAAAAUCAAACCUAAUUGGCAUCAUUUUCUAUACUAACAAUAGCAAAAGCUAGUGGAAACAUUCUAUUCUCAGCAUCAAGUGCCACUGCUGAGAGCAUUACACCACCAUAUCUAUUAAGGAUAUGGAUUCCAUCCAUGAAUAAUAAAGGGCGGCAUCCACUUUUGAAUCCAACUAAACAUGCAUGAAAACAUAUAAACACCCCCUCAAAAUGUCCAUCUGGAUACUCCAGUAUAAAUAAACUUCCUGGAUUAGUCUCAGCCACUGCUUUACCAUAACAUCGCAAGAGAUCAAAUGAUGCAUAAUCUUCACCAUGUAAUGCAAUUCUAGCAACCUCUUUACCAAGCCAAGCUUGCCUGUAAGAAAGAUGAAUGCCAAUAUUUUUUUGAAUAUCCUUCUCGAUAUCAAUUGGUCUAUACAAUGGUCUGUCUCUAACUUUCUGAAGUACUAUAUCGGCAACCCAUAUUUUUGAUGCCUUUGGAUGUCCGAUCCUCCCAAUGCCACUGCUGCAAGUAUACGUAUUACUAAAUAUUUUGAUUUUGAAAGUCUCUUGCUGCCCAACUCUUAAUGCAUGCAGUCGCCAUGGACAACUUUCAUUGAUGCAUUUGAUAAUAACUCUUAAUUUAUCAUUCUUGAUAAAUUGAUAAUCUUUGUUAUGGGUGAUUGAAUAAUUUCUUAGUGCCUUCUUAAAAUGAGUUGCAUCUUUAAAUAACUGAUCAAUGCCUGUUAUGGCAUUCUCUCAUGAUGUAGUUAAUCAAAGGUUGGUUGUAGAUGUAAAACCUUAAGAUGAAGCUGUGACCGUGAAAGCCAUACUCCCAACAUCUUGUAGACCAAGUAUGCUGUCAAAAAUAUGAAAUAAUUACAGUGGACAAUGAACUUUGGAUGAAUCAAUUAAUAAUGAAAUAAUUUUUAAAAAAAAAUUUAUCCUGACUCAAUUAGACGAGUUGAUUCUGAUUCAUUAUUAAGGUUGGUUUCCACAUUGAUCUUUAUUGAUAGAGACUUCAAUGCAAUAUGAAAAUCAAGCAUGCAUUGAAUAUUCUCAUCAUUCUUGAGUUUAAACUUAGAGUUUUCUAGGAUGGAAAGCUAAUAUUUCAGCAUUAGAAUGUCUUUAUCUAUACCCCACCCACUGCAUAUCCCACCUGCAAUUUCAUCAAAUGUGCUCUCUCGAUUCACCCUCAAUAUGUCCCUUCUUAUCCGUAUUUUGCCAUCACCAUAUGAUAAUCCAUCUACAAUUACUUGCUUUAUGAGUAAUGUGUAGUAUAAUAUAUUGAUAAAGAGAAUAUGAAACAGAUAUCAGUAAUCCAUCUACAUAUCAAGUUAUUAAAUAAUAUAAUAAAUAAAUAUUUAAGAAUAUAUUUAACUAUUUAUUUAUAUAAUAAAUGAAUAACACUAUAAAUAAAACAACGGAGACCAUUUCUUUUUUUUUUUUGAUUUAAAGAUGAGUGGUAGUAUUUUGAAACCAACAAAAUAAGGAUAAAGAUGGAUCAGCUGAGAUCGUGCCAUGGAUCCAAAGAAGCAUAGGAACCAGGGAGAGAUCAGAGGAAAAAGAAAAAAACAAGAAGAGAAAGAGAGAAAAAAAUAGAGGGCGUAAAAGAGAUAUUACCAUCUUGACUGCUGGUAGAGAUAGAGUGAAAAAGGAGAGCGACGGGGGCGGGGGCGACAUAGGAUUGGAGAAGUGGUGUUAAGAAAGGGUUCCAGUUGAGAAAGUUAGAGGGGCGGCAUUUGCAAAUAAAUCAAAAAUCCAUCUCUAAGUAAGUCUCUUUCCCUCUAAAACCGUCAAAGCCAUUUCUGUCAUUUAAAUGGACUUAAACGGCAGCAGGUGGCAACAGUAGAUGGUAGAAAUUUAAAAAUAAGUCAUUAGCAGUCCGGAGAUAUUUUAUUCUAAUUAAAAAUUUGAAAGAUUUAAAAAUAAUUUUAAAUCAAAUUAGGAACUGAUAGAUGAUUUUUUCUACUAAAUAUGUUAGGAUCUAUAAACUAAGGGAGUGUAAGAAAAGUUUGUACCAUAAAGUUAGACCCUUUUCCCCUCUCAGAUAGAGUUAGUUUUGAAGAAGAAAAUAUCCGUAACAUUUGGAAUAGUAGGUUAGAUAUCUGCGAAUCAGAUAACGUGAGAUUCUUCUGUUCAUACUAUUGAAUUCUAGGUUGGCUAAAGUUUGUCUAGGUGGAAUCUUGAGCAAGUCAGGAAGAUGUGACCCAUUGAUUGUCCUAUUUUUCAAACUCAUAUCAAUAAUCUUCCUAUGAGACCAAUAUAUUUUUCAAAAUACUUUCGCAAAAAAAAAGACAAAAUAGUCUAGCUUUUCAAUUCUUACAAAUGUGUCAGGAUCAUACAUCAAAAGCUAGAAACUACGCGUCAAAAUUCACAUUUUCUCAGCUCUUUCAUCUGUUUUCAGAGUGGCAAUUGUGCAUGGCACUCUUUUGAUCUUUUUCUCUCUGCAUGACAUUGUCAUGUUUCGCUUUAGAAUCCAAAGCAAUGACAGCUCAUCUUGGAGAUGAGUGCUUGCAUUUCCUCCUAUGUAGGAUACGUGGCAGUUUUUGGUUGGUUUUCAGAAACAUGAUACAGGUGAUGUGCCUUUGGAUGUUUUGGAGGAUAAUUAUUGUUUGAUGUUUGUUAAUCUCUUCGUAGCAGCAUAGAUAAACCUCAGACGUUCCCGAGAUCAAAAACCGUGAAGGAAAUAAAAUAAAAAAAAUUAUUAGAAAAAUAGCUCGAGCAUUAGUCCAAGGAAGUAGCUGGUGGGUGCACGGAGACGGCUAUAAAUUGGCAUCCUUAACAUUUGUGGAUAUAUACAUAAAAGGUGUACAACCACCCAAAUCUAAGAAGACGCAGAAGUCUACGUGAUUUCUGGCAUACUCACUGUAUGUUUUUUACCCUUUGGACAUCAGUAUGAUCCAAUAGUCUAAGCAAAUUACAAUAUAUUUUUUUAAUAUACGGAUUGGAUAACUACCUCCAAAUUUGACUCUGUGAUCGAGAUGUAUUGAUUAGUGGCCAAAGUUGUUUGGUGGAAAUAAAUCCCCACUUUAUUAGAUUGAGUGUUUCCAACCGUCCAAUUAAUCAUGCCCCAUUGAGAGGGUCAACAAUUUGGUGCCUGGAGAUUGAGUGGUUCGGACAGGCCCACCUACUUCAAUUUAACUUCCUGGGUAUCGCAGCAGAUGUAAGCCGACAUGUAUAUAUUUCGCUUAGAACAAGAUGUUCCCCAAUUAUUAACGUAACAGUGAAGCUUCUAGACUGUGAACUUGGUGUUUUCAGUUUUGUUUUCUAGGGGUUACAGAACCUCUGUUCUGGAAACCAAAAAAAAAAAAUGGUGAUCCUAGCAAUCAUUUAAGCACACUGCUCCUCUUUUUUUUUUUAAAUAAGUUCGGAUUUCUUAUACCAAUUUAGUGUAAGUACAUCUAUAAGAUUGGCCUACUUAAUAUAUAUAAAAAAUCAAAAGAAAUAUCUAUCACAACAAUCCUUAAUGUAGUUCCUAUACGAUUGGCCAUAUAAGUUGCCACCCUAUUAUUCGAUGUCAACAUUUUAAAGAAGAAAGUCUGGAGGCUUUUCCUUUUUUGAGCCCAAAAUUUCAGCUCUGCUUUCACUUUGAUCCGAGGUUAUAUAGCAUUGGCAAUAAAGGACUUGCAAUAAUCCAAACACAUAUUUUUAGAGCAUAUAAAAGAGGAAUCUAGGAUGUUUCUAAUAACAUGCAAUGUUCGUAUAAAAACAAAUCCAUAUGGACAGCCCAAACAAAAGAGAUGAACCCGUGAAGGAUCUGGUUAGUUCAAGGGCCAACAUCAGUCAUGAUAUGCGUAAAAAUUGCACUUAUGCGGAUGUUGUCUGCAUCGAACAACUACCUAAUUCUUACCACAAAUAAACUACUUAAUAAUCCUGAAUCCAACUUGGACCCAAAAGAUUCAAAAGCAAACAACUUUACAAGAUCAGAUGGCAUUGUGUUGACUCAUGACCCAACCUAAUCCAUCAUCAACUUGAUCAAGUAUGACUCAUCAACCAGAUUUAUCAGCAUAUAUAGCCUCAACAUGUUGUUCAAACGCUAUGGAACUUAGAAUAACUAGGUCUUCAACUCAAACAUGUGUGGCGUGGGGUUAGUUGUCGUGUCCCAGGCUUAAUUUGGAGUUUGGCUGCCGAGCAUAGAACUAAUUGUACAAAUUGGGGAGGCAAAGGUGCAGUAAAGGAAGAGUUGGCAAACUAGUGUGUAAACCUAUGCUUGACUGUCUAGCCAGUACGAGCCAAGAUAUUGGACCUCAUUUGGAUGGGUUCGAAUUGCAUCUUUUGUGCAAAAGAAUGAUCCAUCUUCUUUUACGAUGUUAACCAUUGGAUCACCCCCUACACAAUCCAACGGCAGAUCCGUACAAAGCGAGGUGAAUCCUUUGGCACGGCGGAUACAAUCCCUGGCCCACUUGGACACACCAACUUGCAUGCUUGGUUUGGGUCCAGUACCUGGGUAGAUCAGAUCACCUAAAUGGGGUACAGCUAGGAUUACACAGGACAAGAAACAAGCAACACGAAUGGCAAAAAUCUAUGCCAUUUAACGCAGCGCUAAUCAUUUACAAGAAAAGAAAUGCGACAAUUACUCAAUCGAACACUGGGGAAAACUCAGUCCGUGCAUGGAAUCUCAUCCAAAUGCAUGGGACCAGGGCAGCAGCUGGACAAUAGCAAAGUCUAUGAAGCAAUGUCACAUAUAGUGCUGCUUGGUAAAAAGUUCUCGGCAGCUCCUAAAUAAACAAGUCCUUUCUUCUAACUUUCAAUGAUGAUGAGGCCUUAAUUAAAUUGCCCCAUUGAUUUGAACUCGUCAACCUAGUCCCAACUAUCUAGAUUUAUGAUCCGACAAUGAUAUAUUGCCAAGCAAAGUAGCCUGACAACCGUAUUUUUUGCGACAACAGAAUCAUAUUGUACAUCUCCGUAAACUUGGUACAGCGAAAGAGAUACGACCAAGAACCUACUCAUCAACUCCGCAGAACAUGCCAGAAGAAGAAAGCAAAUUGGACAGUGAUUUCGAUAUCCAAGCAUUCAAAGAAUCAAGCCCAAAGGAUAUAUACAUUCCAUUGCUCUUUGAGGGUGAAACAGAGCUAGAAUCACGCAGUUGGAUGUCCGGUCUUGACCUGAUCAAACAACUGUGAUGGCUGCAGGCACAUGAUCCUUCUCCCAUAUAUGAUGGCUUGGUCACACAUUUCCCCUUUUAAUGCUUUUUGUUACCAACACUGUCCACAUCCAAAGCAGUCAUGUGUUGCACUUUAAUUUCCUUUGUUACUUGUAUAUAAACAUCCCAGGCCCCAGAGGGCUCUUUGGGAGGAGUGACAAGGGGGGCUCCAUGGUAGAAGCAAUAACACCAAAGUGGUAGGAGACAAUACAUGUGCCAAGGAUUCCUCCCCCCUGGCCCCCAGCCAACACUAUCCUCCAAAUCCCUCAUCUACUACCAUAUCCUUAAAAGUGCUGUCCUCCGUCAUCUCAUCACCUCUUAACUGAGAUGUUACAUCCCAACCACCUCGUCCGGCUGUCAACUUUCCUAGUGUAAGAGAGACGUCCCUCUUGGGCAAAGGACGAAACCACUUGUGGAGUUGGGACUUGACCAUACGCAACUUGUUCCAGUGACAACCGUCACAACGCAAUUGGACCAUUGGUCGAUCGGUGUGACUACAAUGGUCCAUUGUAGUUGGGGCGUUUUGGACCCGCAGGCCAACAAGGGCAAAGUAAUGGAGCAAAAUCUAAGCUGCAUGCUUGUGAGGUGGUGCUUAUCAAAUUGAACCUAUUUUCAUGGGGGAAGGAUAUUUGAUGGUCAUGACGAUGAUAUAUCCUUCUAUCAGGGUUCUUUAUGCGCAUUCCAAAGAUUGGUGGUAAUCAAAUAUAUAUACACCCAAUUAUUGGUAAGCUAUAAGCGAGCCAAACAUUUUAAGCUUUUAUUUUAAUAGAAUAUUAAGUAGUUCUCUUAUUGAGGUCCAAAAAAACAAAAAAAAAAAAUACUUAAAGGGUCUAUUGCAGUUGGGGCACUCUAGACCCACAAACCAACAAGGUGCAAAAUCUACUAUGAAUCCAUACUGAAGUUUCCACCUGAUAAGCUGCUUGUGAAGUGGACCUUAUCAAAUAGAAUCUACUUUGAUGGGUAAAGGAUUUGAUGGUGAUGACGACAAUCUCUCACUUGUAUUAGGAUUCUUUAUGUGCAUUCCAAUGAUUGGUCAUAAGCAAAUACACUCAAUUAUUGGUAAGCUAUAAGCAAGCCAAAUAUUUUGAGCUUUUAUUUUAAUACUAUACAAAAUAUAUAUAUAUAUAUAUAUAUANNNNNNNNNNNNNNNNNNNNNNNNNNNNNNNNNNNNNNNNNNNNNNNNNNNNNNNNNNNNNNNNNNNNNNNNNNNNNNNNNNNNNNNNNNNNNNNNNNNNNNNNNNNNNNNNNNNNNNNNNNNNNNNNNNNNNNNNNNNNNNNNNNNNNNNNNNNNNNNNNNNNNNNNNNNNNNNNNNNNNNNNNNNNNNNNNNNNNNNNNNNNNNNNNNNNNNNNNNNNNNNNNNNNNNNNNNNNNNNNNNNNNNNNNNNNNNNNNNNNNNNNNNNNNNNNNNNNNNNNNNNUAUAUAUAUAUAUAUAUAUAGGGUCCAUUGCAGUUGGGGCACUUGAGGCCCACAAGCCAACCAGGGCGCGGUUGUGAUGCGAAAUAGACUCUGUUAAGCCACGCUCGACUUUUUCCAUCUGAUAAGCUGCCUGUGAAGUGGUCCUUAUCAAACUGAAUCCAUUUUGAUGGGUAAAAGAUUUGAUGGUGAUCUCAAUCUCUCGCUUGUAUUAGAGUUCGUUGUGUGCAUUCCAAGGAUUCGUCAUAAACAAAUACACUCAAGCCAAACAUUUUGAGCUCUUGUCUUAGUAGAAAUAGUUUUCUUAUCAAGGCCAACAAAAGAAAGGGGGAAAGAAAAACUCAAGGUUGGUGUUCCUGUCCUUGGAAGUUCCCACAUCCACAUCAGAAGGUGACCAACUCCUCUUUGCCGAAGUAUUAUUAGUGAGUGUUGGAGAUUCCGAAGGAAGCAAACCCUGGAUGCCAGCCUAGUAUUCCUUGGCGCUUUACAUGCGAUUGUCAGAGUCGUCUUCCAAAAUCCCCAACAAGUUCAAAAGCUUCUAAUAAAGAGAACUACCAUAAAUGCACUACAGGGCUGCUGCUCCUUCAGUUGUUACACACUAUCUCUGCCUUCCUUAUUGUUCUGCACUUUUUAAAACCAGUAUCCGAAAGCACUUUGUGCUCACUUACUGCCCGAUAGAGCAUUACUUUAGCCAACAUAUGGAGAACUCUAUGGCCUCAAAAAGUCCCAUCAAGUGUUCCUCGGAACAAGGGCCUUUGGGUAGGAUGAACUCCUCAGCCACUCCUCAACAAUCGAUACUUUAUCGAGCACCGUUUUUCUGUACCAGUCUCCAAAUCUGAGAAUAGAUUAACAAGACUUGCCAGGUAAGGGAAGAAAGGAUACGGCAUACGUCGCAUAAGGCUAAUGAGAGCUGCCAUACAUGAAUACAGCAGAGCACCUACCUGCUGUUGCACCUACUUAUAAUGAUUAAUUUUAUAGCAACCCGCAAAUGAUUGCCAUGGUUCUCUCCCUGAAAUGUUUGAGCACAUCAGGAUUGCAAGUAGUAGUACCAUUAAGCCUGCAUUAAGGUCUCAUGUGGAUAAAUAUAGUUUAUGUUACAUAGGGGAAAAGGCACCCUAUUUUCUUUCUCAAGUUCAGAAAAACUCGAAAAGGUUUGGGUGGGCUCACGUGUGGUCUAGUAUAUAGAUGCGUAUUUAUUGAACAUGACACUGCUUAGAUCUACCACAACCCUGAGGAUGGAUCAUGUAUCUAUACAGGUCAGGGAUUAGUAUACAUCUCAGGUGUCAUGCUUGAACUAGCCCUGGCACUGGUUUGCUAGAACGGGUACAUGUAUUAUAUUUGUAUAUGAAUAUAUCCAUAUCAUGUUUUUUUUUUUGGUAUAAGAAUAGGAGUGGGGGCGACCAACGUAGCUAUCUUCUCUGGACGUGACCAUGAGGGCUCCUACUCUGCUGAAAAAUAUUCAAUACGUGACGACAACAAUUAAGACUCAGCCACUCUCCAUCAUAUUGGGUGAGUACGUCAUCCCAACCCCAACCAAAGCAUCAAAGAGUUCAGAUACCAUCCCACGAACUACGUCCAGAUAUUCAAGAAUUAACCCUUCAUUUAAUUGAAUCCUGUAAACUCGAACCUCGAACGUGAGGGCGUGGAACUAAUGGACUAUACCAACUGAGCUACCACCUUGAUGGUUAUCCAUACCAUGUUUGAACCGAUAGUUGGGACUAGUAUAAGUCUAUCACGCGUUAGCAUUUUAAGCUAGUCAUAGGCUCCCAACACCCGGUUUCAAGGACCAGCAUUGGUCUUCCAUGCAUUCAACUAGUUUCGGUAACUGAAAUGCAAACACCAGUAACUAAUCAAUUCCCGAAGCAGCUAAUACUUGACGCUAGUGUUAUAUACUAAAAGUCGUAACAAAUAUAAAAAAAAAUCAUAAAAUAAAAAAAAACUAAUGAGAAAUAUCUAAUUGAGUUUAAACUUAAAAGUAGCUGUCCACUUAAGUUUCAAGUAAAAAAUUCUCUCCAUUUGAAAUAUAACUCAAAAGUAAUUAUUCAAAUGGAAUGAAAUAAUCCAAUUGCCCUUGCAGUUAUAAAACAACAUUACACUAUUAUAAAGUAAAAUUUUGCUACGGUGCUCCAAAGGUCAUUUUUGUCUUUUUUAUCUAUUUUGAACCAUUGGAUUAAAUAUGGAUAAUUUAGAUUUUAGUUUGGUGGAGUACCCUAUGCAUAGUUGAUGCAGUAAAUAUUUCAAAGAUUAGGAUUAUUUUAGUUCAUAAUCAAAAAAAAAAUUCAAAAAGCCUUCUCUUCUUCCUUGGGCCACUGCAAGAGGGGGAGCCGCAGGCGCCGGAGGUUGGGGGGUGGUGGCAUGGUGAAGCAAUGGGCCGGGGUCGGUGGGUGGGGAGGUGGGUCCAGGUCUUCUUAAGCAGAGGAGGCGCUGAUACCGAAUGCGGGAAAAGAGGACGGAGGAGUCACGAACCACCAGGAGGGCUGGGGGGUGGUGGUGACUCGGAGGAGACGUGGGCUGCGGGGGGCGGGAGGGGGGGCAUGGGGAAGUCGCAGACCACCAGGGGUUUGGGGGGUGGGUCGAAGGAGGCGUCGGUCCUGCAGCGGAGGGAGGGGGUGGUGCGAAGAAGCAAGGAAGAUGUAGGAGGCCAGAUGGUGGUACGAAGGAGGUGUAAGGGGCCCCCGAGGGGGAGGGGGGCGGCAUGUGAAGGAGUCGCAAACCAUCAGGAGGAUUUGGGAGGGAGCGCAGAGAAGCAGAGGAGGUGAGAGGGGGGGGCGUGAGUGGUGGCGUGGAGUAGACACAAGGGGCCAGAGGGAAGGGGGUAGCACGGAGAAGCCGCAGGUAGUGUCGGUGAAGGUGGGGGGUUGGGCGUAGUGAAGCCACAGGGAGAGAAAGGAAGAAGGAAGAGAAAUAAAAUAAAAUAUUAUUUUAAAAAAAUAAUAAAUAUAUAAAAAAUAAUAAUAUAUAGUAUUUUAAAUAUUUUUUAUAAUAAAAUAUUAUAAAAAAGUAUCGUAGUAAAAUUCUUAUAAAGUAAUACUAUAAUAUUAUAAAAUAAUACUGCACUAUAACAAAAACAACAGUAAUAUACUAUUAUAAAGUAAUACUACACUAUUAUAAAGUUAUACUACACUAUUAUAAAACAACACUGCAUUGUUGUAAAGUAAUACUAUAAUAAAAAAAUACUAUAUUAUGAUAAUGUAAUACUAUCUUGUUAUAAAGGAAUACUGUACUAAUAUAAUAUGAUACUAUCUUAUUAUAAAGGAAUACUAUACAAUAUAAUACAAUAAAGUAAUACUAUAUUAUUAUAAAGGAAUACUAUACAAAUAUAAUAUAAUACUAUUUUAUUGUAAAGGAAUACUGUACUAUGAUAAUGUAAUACUGUAGUUUUUUAAAGGUAUAAGGAUAUAAGAAUAAUUUUAGUUAAAAUGAAUAGUUGCUUUUAACUUAUGUUUGGAAUAGAUAGGUAUUUUUAUAUAAAACUUAUUUGGGAAGCUGCUUUUAAGUUGAAAGUAGAGCUGAAGAUUUAUCUCUAGUUCUCUGUAAAAUAAAUAUCAUGCACUAUUUAACUUAGGGUGCAAGGACUAGAAGCCUAGUAGACUCUCCAUACGUGUCUAGAAGAAAGUGCUGUGGUCUAACUUAAUGCUAAACGAUAAAAUUAAUAAAGAAACUUAUUCUAAUAUUUAAAGUAUAGCUAACCAAGCAAUUGAAAAUUGGGUUUUGCUAUGGUGCUCCAGAGGACAAUUAAGUUUUUUUUUUAUCUAUUUCUGACUGUCAGAAUAAAUAUGGACCAUUCAGAUUUUAGCUUGAUCGAGUAUCCGUGUGUAUGGCUAGUGCAGUAAAUAUUUAAAAAAAAAAGAUUAUUUCAUGCUAUAAUCAAAUUGAUUUUUUUUUGCAAAGACUCUUCUCUUUCUCCGUGGGCCACCAGUUAGGGGAGAGGGAGCUAGUGUCCAUGAGCCAUUGGGCGGGGGAGUGCGAAGAUGCAAUGGCGAGUGGGUAGGGAUUUGGUGGUGCAGAGAAAUGUAGGCCGCAAGAGGGAGCCGUGGGCCAUGGUGGGGGUGGGUGGGUGGAGGAGGAUGUGGUGGCACGAAGAAACCACGAGCCACAGGAGGGGGGGGAGGAGGGCACGAUGUCGCAGGUGCUGGGGUCUGCCGGUCAAAGGGACAAGUAGGUGGGGGGUUGGUGACAUGGAGAAACCGCAGGCCACAGGAGGGGGUGGGCUGCCGAGGGGUGGAUGGGUAGUGGGAUCGAUGGGGGGUGGUGGUGCGGAGAAGCCCUGGACUGGGGGGGUGUAGGGGUGGGGGCGCGGUGGUGCGGAAAAACCACAGCCCAUUGGAUGGUGGUGAAGGUGGGAUCGAGAGUGCAGAGGAGACACGAGUAACGGAGCCGGAGGAAGAGGACGGAGGAAACACAGAUGAUAGGUGGCCGGGGGGCAAGGGGCAGCGUAGGAGCCGCGAAUGAUGGGUGGCCGAGGUCGGGGGGGCGGUGGAGGAGCCUGUGUGGCAUCAGGGGUGGGAUGGGUGCGGAGAAGGUAUAGACAAAGAAAGAAAAAUAAAGAAAAAAUAAAAUAUUAUUUAAAAAAAUAAAAUAUAUAAAAAUAUGAUAUAUGUAAUAUUUUAAAUAUUUUUUAUAUAAUAAAAUAUUAUUAAAAAAAAUAUCAUAGUAAAAUUUUUGAAAAUUUUAUCCGUUCAACAUUGCUAGAUUGUACGCAACAAGUCGAUGAAAGAAUGCCACCAGAAGUGACCAUUGAUGAGCAUCACCAUUAAACUAUCCCCCACAAUCACCACCACCAAACAUUUCUCUUUGUUCCUUUUUGAUCUUUGACGGAAACAUGAUAGAGACGUCACGGCUUGGAUUUGACCUCUAAAGUGGCUAGAACCUUUCAUACAUGGAUAGGAAUGCCAACAAGACAUACCAAUUCUAGUCAGUAUCAUGGUUCUAAACCGGAUUCAACUCGCACUACUUUGACAUGUAUUAUCUAAAUAAAUUUUAUGGGGGCCAAAAAUCUCAUCGAGUUUUGCUCGAGAUUACACUCAGUAGUAUGUUAGGACUCAGAGAGUAUUAAAAAGUAGGAAUAUAAACAACAGAAUUUAAUAGUAUUGACACCCUAAAAUCCAUGAAAUAAAAGCAUAUGGCCCAGUAGCUGGUAACACAUGAUGGGUUCAAAUCCAUUGUAAAUUUGGGUUACCAGUGCACCAAGCCUCAAUCCAAGUCCUAGAUUUUCUGAUUAGGGGUCAGGACGACCUGUAACUCAGUAAGGUCAACUCGGCGAAGUUUUGAGCGCGCUUGGCAAUACAUAAAAACAGAAAAGAUGGUUACAGAUGGCAUCCAUAGUAUUCACUAACCACUGUAAGUGUUUCUUAUGUACUUUGUGAGCCGGUACAUUAAAUUUCUGAGCAUAAAAACAUUUUUUUACGAACAAGUAUAGAGCUGCGUCGCUACUCCAAGGCAUAAUACGGGGCACAAGAUAAUGGAACCAACCAGAUUCCAAUUGAGCAUUUUCAUUUUUAUUUCAUUUCCAGGUUCAUUUUUUAAAGGUUCCGGAAGCAUGUAUCCAAGUUCCUUUUUUUUCUGGUUCAUAUGGAAAUGCAAGCAACUGACCAUCAGAUGAUUCGGAUAGCGUAUAAUGGGAAAUGCUAAUCAACAAAGACAAGGUAAUCAACAUUGAAUGACCAAGUGAUAUGUCCUCUGAAGUGAAAUUCAUACAGAAGAGAUCCAAAUACUCUUUAUCUGCACGACAAAAAUAUGACAAGAAUACUUUUGACAGUAAAUAUGCUUAAAAAAGAAAAUUGGAUGAUACAGUAAAAAAGGUCCAUAGUGUCUUGGAAAUUUAUUGUAAAAAUGUAAAUUUCUUCAAGAAAUUGUCUCCAAAGCCUGAAUAAACUGGCUAAGGGUACUUGGUUUUGUUUCUAAAUGUAAGAUCCGAUGCUCAAAGGACCAACUUUUCCAACAUUUUCCACUAAAAUAUUGGUAGAAAUGUGAGAGCAGAAAUUUGUAAAAUAUAAAUGUGAUAAUUUAUAUAACUAUGAUGAGCACGUACACCAAACAAAUUCUGCUCUAAUGUUCAGGUAUUAGGAUAAAACAAGUUAUUUUAGUUGGAUGAACUCAGUGACUUCAUUUCCAAAAAAAAUGUAGGGUUUACAGCAUAAUAUAUUACAAUAUCUCAUCAAAGAAACAAUGUCUGGCAAUAGCAAUUGCUCAUUUUAGUUGUCACAAUUUGAUCAAUGAUAAAUAUCCCUCUCCAGAUAAAAGUAUGUUGGCAUUCUUAUUCCAGAUUAAGGAAAAAAAAAUCUGCUUGUUAGUUCAAUAUCUGAGUGAAGCCCAAUGAUAAAAACACCAAAGAUGCAGGAGUAACAUUACAAGGGUUUUUCAAGCUUUUACAGAGAUAAAAUGAUGAUGAUUUCUACCCUUCAACAUGAGAGACCGGUAACCAACCAGCAAAUGUUCUUUAAGAAUCUAUCCAAAGACCUGUAUGCAGAUGGAACAGAAUGAGAUUUGAACUUUCUAUUCAUACAUUGAAAUUUCUCUUAUAAUAGUAAAUCAAACUGUUCAAACUUCCAUACCAAGGAAAAGGAAAAUGGUCAGGCUACCUUCUUCAUGAAGCACCACAGUUGAAGGCAGCAACAUCUGCGCCACCUUAGAAAAGAAAACUAACUUUGCACUCCAUGCAUCCAUUCCACAAAAUUGUCCAAAAUUAAGGGCCAAGCCAGGUUUGAAUCAUAAUUGUCGAGGGAUGGAAAGUUUAUCUGUGACAGGAAAAGGUUCGGCAAAAAGAAAUUUCAAAGGAUGCACCAGGAAAACAGGCAAAUGGCAAAGAUGAUGGGAAAAACAUUUUGUAUAAUGAAGAUCAAAAGUGCAAUAGAAUCAUCAUAGCAAAUAGUUCAGAAUAAUACCUCAUUACAAAAUCGGAGAAAGCUCAUCCACUGAUCCAAGUUGAUCACCUUGUAGUCAUGUUGAUACUGCAGUGUUCGAAGUACAAAAGAAUUAAAUAUGCUUUGCAAAAUUAGUAAAACAUAGAAUUAAAUACUACCUAACUGCUGGAAAUAUAUCAGAUUUGUUGAUGGAUAAUUUGAUGAAUUGGCGACUGAUCGCCAGUCAAGCUUUUUAAGCUGCAAAAGAUACAAAAGCUGGAAUAAAUAUUUACCUUGAGAUACUCAAUAAGUUUGUUGACCUGGGGACGAAAUUGGAAACCUAAUACAAGAUCCAGCAGUUCACAGGCACUCUCAAUGUCUAUACACUUUUGCUUGUCCUCUGCAAGGGGACCACAAACCCAUUAACCCAUAGCAUUAAAAUCAGAACACUGAAGACCUAAAAACUGGCAUACCUGUCAGGCAAUAACGAAAUGCAUAAGAAUAGAAGUCUGAGAAAUUUGAUGGCCGUGUCACCUUCAGCAUAUUGAAGCAAUAUCAGCACAUUUACAUGUGUUAUCAAGGUACACAGACAAGCGCACGAGAGCUUAAAUUUGGCAAAAAGUUGCAUGGAGAAAACAACAUAGAGAAUAGGGGCUUGGUAGAUCAUGAUCUAAGACAAACUGCAUGCUGACCUCUUUCACCAAUUCUGGCAGUGCCUUCUUUAUUUUGCUGACACUAUCAGCACGUAGUGCCUUUAGGCCCCUUCGCCAUUCUUCCUGUCACAGAAGGAACUAAAGUCUUGGAUACAGUUGAAGGGAAAAAUCAAAAUCCAGCCAGUGAAUAUCACAAAAAUAUGUUCACUAAACAGCAAGACAUCAACAAAUUAUUUAAAUAAUUUCAGAAGGAAUACAUACCAGAGUAAAAUAUCCUUGUUUUUCAGCUUUCAUUUUCCUGAUAAACUCAUUGCAGUUAAUUGACAGACAGCACAAAAGGAGCAUAAUGUUCCGAAAAAUUGUAAAAGAUGUCAAUGCUAACAAAGUGUCAGGUAUAAAAUAUAUUACCAGGCAAGCAUAAGUAUCCUGACAUCAGUAUGAUCAACUUCCACGUCAGAACAGAAAGACUCAAUCCCUUCAGGGCUGUUAAAAAAGAGUAAGCAAAGUGAAGUGAGAAAAAUUAUGCACUAGCAAAUAGUUACAUCAGAAUUGAUUUUUAAACCUUCUAACAAAGAAUAACUAAUCUUUGAAACAAAUCUCAACUCUAGAGUAAGCCUGUGGAACAAAAACAUUUUUUUAAAAUAAUACCACAAAAAGAAAAAUCUUCAAGAACAUUGUAUACCAAAGAUUUCAAAACGAAUGGGCAACAUAGACCGAGUCUUAUGCUUAAUAAGUUGUUCCAAAAAAUACAUUGUACACCUUCAAGGAGAACAAAUUUGCCAAGAGAGGAGCUCAAUAUCGAAAACAAUAGGAGAAACGGCAAUAAAUUUUAUAUACUUUUCAACAGAAACUUCCUGCCACUGCUUUAUUUACCAUGCACCAUUUAAAUUUUUUAGAUUUUCAAACCCUAUGUGAAACCUUCCUAAUAGUUUGCUCCACAGAAACAUAUAUAAAUGGGACAAGGCUUAGUUUGUAGCAUUAC